UGAAAAUAAUUGGCCUGAAUCCUUCUUUUCAUCUACAGAAUGUUCCACACUUCUGUGAUGUCUGGUUCAGGCACUUUUAUUCCCCAUAUGUGAUGUAGGUUUUUAUUUUAUAUUUUUGAAAUGACCUUUGAAUGAUCCACUUUCAACUGGCUGACAAUUUUUAUUUCUUGAAAAGAAAACAUUUUGAAAGACCUUUCAGGACCUUUUCAGCGACUUUCAUGUCACGUUCUCCGCCAUCCAACACGCAGCCUUCUGGAUCAACGAGGCGCAUCCACAGAACACUUUGAACUACCUCGGCGCCUCACACGCACACACACACACACACCUCUUUUAUCACCCCACCGGCCGCUGCGCUGUUAAUCCAACGAGCUGUGUAAUGGCUGCAGCGACUGUUUGAGAGGAGAUGGCUCAUCGGGGAGGAGAUCCAGUCUUUGGGUCCGACAUCAUCAUUCCUCUUAUCUCUAACAACUUAGCGCUGAUUGAACACAGCCAGAUUGAGGGAGUCUGGUUGGAGCAAACGUUACCACCGGGUCAUUCGGUAGCCAAAUGGAGCCAAGGGUGUGUUUACUGUAAACGACUGUGUCGGAAAGGCUGGUGUGUGUGUGUGUGUGUGUGUGUGUGUGUGUGUGUGUGUGUAUGUGUGUGUGCAGACACAGACGUGCGUGACUCAGUAGUGCGGAGGCAUCCAACAAACCCACCCCCGCGUUGUCUGUCUGUAUGACAAGGCCCGCUGACUCAGCCGAGAGAGAAAGAGAGAGAGAAGUAAUAAAUUGAAGGAUGACAAACAGGGGAACCCUUAAAACAAGUGUUAGGGGAUGGGUUAUUAAUAGUGAGUGAAGUCAUGUGAGACAGAGAGAUAUGACUGGGUAGCUGCAAGGGCAUGUGUGUGUGACAAUGUAAGUGUCCCCUUAUUUUAAUUGUUUAGAGUUCAUCCAAAUAUGUAAUUCCUUUAUUUCCUGUGUGUGGUGCACUCCGAUUGUGAGGAAGAAAACAAAAAGGGAGGGUGAAAAUCUCUGAAGACGAGUUACAGGUUGCCCUGAUUUUUCGCUGUACCGGUGUCUGCCAGCGUCCCAUCUCCUCUGACCCCGAGGCGCUUUGUGUCAGGCCGCCCUCUCUGCGGCCCACUUCGCCUCAUCGUGCCCUCUAAGCUUUCUGCGACUGUUUUCAGCAUCCUCUUCUCCUCGGCAAACAGCUCCACCUACACCUUUCCCUUUUCCCCAUCGCCCUCCUUCCUCCUCUAUUUCCUUCAUGUUGUGGUUCGGCCGCCGAGCCGCUGAGCGCAGUGGCACGCUCCAUUGCAGCGCCGGAACACACUCAAACGAACACACACAAUGUUUCCAAAACCUGGCAGUCUUCUGCUGUUGAGGCCACAAUAAACAUAUUGAAUGGGUGAACUCUUGAGACUUAAAUUGGUGCUCUGUUAAUGAUAAAUAGCCAAUUAUUUAUGAGGGUGCUAUGUAUAAUAAAUACUUUAAAGGGGGGCAGCAUUUCUCCUUCUCUGCAUAGUUUAUACAAGCUAAAUACUGUAUACAGAGCGAAGGCUAUAGGAUGGUACACGAAAAUCAUCCAACCCCAAUCCUCCCUCCUACUGCAUCGUUGGCAUAUUUAUUCAUUCACAUCACACACAAUGUUUAUGUAACAAAACAUGGCGACCUGUUUUUUUCCCCUCCAUGUUCUCAUCAUAGCGUUAAGAUCAAAUACGGUGCUGAGGGAACGUCGCGUUCCACCGCAACGGGAGGACGGAAAGUUGCGAAUAAAAAUGAAUAAAUAAACAAGAGAGCAAGAGGAAGAGCGGCGCUUAGAUCAAUAAGGGCAUGUGCUUAUUGGGUGGAGGCGGGCAGGGACAGAGCCUGGACCAGGAGUGGAACACCAGCGUGUAAUCUUGUACUGUUUGCUUUCUCCCUGCGGAGCGGCAAACUAACUCGCUCACGGCGCUGGCCCUAAAGGAGCAUGUAAUGUACGGCCGUCGAUCUGGAUCGGCUAUUGACUGGGGAGCGGGAGGCGGCGGGGGCUUGGUUCCUGCUGUAGAACAUUAGGAUCCAGUUUGAGGAACGAGGCGCACAGGCAGAACGCGUUGUUGCUUUCAGUCUUGUUCUUCUCUAACAGAUUUCUUCCUUAUUUUCCCCCAUUUCGGAGGGUUUUUAAGGGAGUUUUUGUUCUGUGACAGGUAAAGGUUUGUAAGAGCAAAGGAUGGAUGUUCAUGGUUAUGAUUAGACUGUGUUGGACAUUAGAUGGUAAAUGUGCAUAUUAUGUUAAGGCAUAUUGUCUGAUUAUUAUGUAAUCAAAAGAGUGGAGUAGAAGAACUGCCUGGGCCUGUUAUGGGGGAAGGAAGCUUCUUGGCAGUCUGCUGAGCACGUAGCUCUUGUGACUUUUUUUCCCUUUGACAUGGGAAUAAAUGGAGAAAGACAUAUUUGACUCUGAGCCUUAUUGUUAUUUACAGAUUGUCUCUGCAAAAUGUCCCAUAACAUGUGCUGCUUUGCUACAUCUCCAUUGACUUAUCAUUAGAAUCACGGAUUCCACUGUUGAGGAACAGGCGGUUUUCGAUAGUAUAGCAGCCCAAUUAGUGCAGCGCUACAUUUGUUUGUUGAUGUCCGCUGGCCAUUAGUCGAGAUGCCAGUAUUGAUGCUUGUGAUUAUUCCCCGGCUAAAUGCACCAUUGCUCGCCACUGGUGCAAAGAAACAAAAGCAAAAAUAGACUUUUGGCCAGCACUCCUUCUCACAUUUUGUUUGUGUGAUGAAUAUGAGGUCUAUCAUUCAUUUGUUACGCUUGCUUACAUCCAGAACAGUAACUGAGCUGGAAUGAUAACAGAAGAAUCAGGAGAUUGAGACAAAUGGAGCCCGACGGCACGCUGUACAGUAACGAUACAUCAGCUCCGAGCAGCAGCCGAGCCCGAUGGAGGAAGCCGAGAGGAAUUGGUUUUCUCCUUCGGGUGCUAUGCGUAUUCUACGCUGCAGUGUGCCAGCGCGUCUGAGCCAGAGGGGCUUCCGUACACACGGACCUGUAGGAAGAGUCUGUGGCGUGUGACAUCUAUAUCAGGUCCUUAAUACAGGGUGGAUGCACAAGCUAAAUAUCACCAUUACAAAGGGGAGGAUCUGGGACGUAUGGGUUAUGAAAAACAUCAAUAUAUGUAUUUUUCUUGUUAUGUUCAGAUUAUCUACAUUGAUGAUUCAAGGUAAGUGGAACAAUUAUUUAGAAGUUUGUAUUCUAUAUAACUAGAAAUAUUCUUUUUUCCGAAUCUUUCUCUGGCUAAGAUAUUUAGCAGCCAUUUUAUUUGUUUUGUUUAAAUAUAUUAUCUAAAAUGUAUAUUAUUUUGAUGAUGAUUGAAUGACUAAUUUGUUUGGUUAUUGUGACAGCGUGAGGUCAUACUGUCGGAGGGAUUUAAGGAUGUGAAAAGCCAAAGCGGGUCUAAUACCUCACCGGCUAAAAGAAAUACACAACAUUUGUACCAGAUGUUCCCCCUGGAGUCAUUAAUUACAUCCAACGAACGCCAACCCGCCAUUGCAAAACAUCCGCCACCCAAAAUACAACAUUUAUCACAUUAAGUUUGUGGGCAACUGCUAAAUGUGCAGGUACUUUAAGGUAAAACUGUUUUUUCAUUCAUUUUUUACAUAUCCUGGCAUAUUUAAAACCCAAAUAGAACUCAAGGUACCCACUAAGAGCAUUUCUAAGUGAAUCGAGUCAUUGCUAAUAUCAACUACAAACACCAUUAACUUUAAACAAUUAUCUCUUUUAAGCAAUUUAGCAACUUUGUAUUUAGUUUGAGCGUCUGAAAAAUGUCUUUCCCCACAAGCAAAGCAUUUGCGGAGAUACAAAUUGAAUUACUUUGCACAAAAAAAACAAUCAGGAGAAUUCAAAUGAGGAGUGCAGUUACAACAUAUUGUCUUGUUACUCUGUACAAACAGAUGUGUAGCUCCUCAGGAAGCCAGUGGAAGCCCUUUAAAGGACCUCACAUCAUGGCGCAGAUUUGUCACAGUCACAGGGUCCAAUGCGAAUUGAUUUUAUCGUUGCUGUGGACGUUGGCUUCGUUUGGUUUCACGCCCUUUAAGCACAUUGACUGUGUCCCAGCGCUAAAGACUGACAGGAUGCUGCUUGGCGGGAUCAUUAAGCGCUGCAUCACCAGGAAAGGAUGCAUUCGCCUCACAUCUGCAUGCCUGUUACAAAUCUGCCCAUUGGCUCGGUCCGGAGGGGGCUCU
ensembl:lncRNA